rnacentral:rRNA from 1 species
AGAAGACCCUAUAGAGUUUNAUAUUUAAUUUAUAUUUUUUAUAGAAAUUUAUUAUAAAAUAUAAUAUUUUAUUGGGGUGAUAUAUAAAUUUAAAAAACUUUAAUUUUUAAAAACAUUAAUUUAUGAUUAAUUGAUCCAUUUUAAUGAUUAAAAGAUUAAAUUACCUUAGGGAUAACAGCGUAAUUUUUUUUAAGAGUUCUAAUCGAAAAAAAAGAUUGCGACCUCGAUGUUGGAUUAAAAUUUAAAUUUGGUGUAGAAGCUAAAUAGUUAGGUCUGUUCGACCUUUAAAAUUUUACAUGAUCUGAGUUUAAAUCGGCGUGAGCCAGGUUGGUUUCUAUCUUAAAAAUUUUAAAAUAUUUUAGUACGAAAGGACCAAAUAUUUAUAAUAUUUAUUAUAUUUUGAAUAC